CUUUGUCCUCUGUCUCUCUCUUUCUCCUCAGAUCUCCAGGCUCAAAGCGUCAGUCCACUAGCUGAACUCUCAGUCAGACUGGUGAAUGGGACCACUUCCUGUUCUGGGACAGUGGAAGUCUUCUACAGAGGAGAGUGGUUAAGUAAAUGUUAUGGGUGGUGGAGCAUGAUGAGAGAGGUUAAGGUUGUGUGUAGAGAGGUGGACUGUGGGAAUCCUGUAUCUGAAUCUGUAAGGGGGAGGGGUGUAGUGGAGAUGAGUCUUCUAUUAGACAGUGUGGCAGAAGAAGAGUAAGAACUGGUAUCUGUGAUGGUGGAUAUUAUCGUCAUGUGACCUGUUCAGAGUCUGUGCGGCUUGUGGAUGGAGCUGGUCUCUGCUCUGG